rnacentral:rRNA from 1 species
UGGGGAAUAUUGCACAAUGGGCGAAAGCCUGAUGCAGCAACGCCGCGUGAGUGAUGAAGGUCUUCGGAUUGUAAAGCUCUGUCUUUUGGGACGAUAAUGACGGUACCAAAGGAGGAAGCCACGGCUAACUACGUGCCAGCAGCCGCGGUAAUACGUAGGUGGCGAGCGUUGUCCGGAUUUACUGGGCGUAAAGGGUGCGUAGGCGGAUGUUUAAGUGAGAUGUGAAAUACCCGGGCUUAACUUGGGUGCUGCAUUUCAAACUGGAUAUCUAGAGUGCAGGAGAGGAGAAUGGAAUUCCUAGUGUAGCGGUGAAAUGCGUAGAGAUUAGGAAGAACACCAGUGGCGAAGGCGAUUCUCUGGACUGUAACUGACGCUGAGGCACGAAAGCGUGGGUAGCAAACAGGAUUAGAUACCCUGGUAGUCCACGCCGUAAACGAUGAGUACUGGGUGUAGGAGGUAUCGACCCCUUCUGUGCCG